CAGAAGGGAACCCAAAAUCUUGACCCUACAGAAACACUGGGAAGCAGUGGCAUCAUGCCUAGCAGCUUGGAGGACUCCUCUCAGAAGCUACACAUGUGAGCUACUACUGUAGGGAGGAGCACAUACCAGACAGCAGCACUAGAAGAAAGCUCUGGUCCUUGCUUAUGAGGACACGGCAGGCCCAGCAGGCAGAGGGGCUGAUUCCAGAGUACUUACUCAGACACAACUCUCCGAGACUUCAAGCCGUGUUUUGCUUGAAUAAUGUCCCGCAGGAUCGAGUCCCCAGUUUAGGACCGACUGACAGCAAACUUCUGAGACUUAAAAUCAGGUCAGAAUGAGUGGAAUAAGAAAAAAACCCGCCAAGCCUUGGCUCUUUACCAUUAAAUAAAUUGGAUUCCCAGCGCAAACAGCAAAACAAUGGCCAAGAGGAUGUGACUAACAAACGCCGAGGGAAGAGUCAAGCUGCCCCCUCUUUGCAUAUGUAGCCAAACAGAAGUCAUUGGGGUUGGGAUUUCCCCCCCUUCCCCCCCCCCCCAAUUUAACAUAUCUGUGCAUUUCAAUAAGCUGAGAGAAACAAUGCCCGGCUUUCAAAAGUUGCAAAUUACUGGGAAUACAUUGCAAAAUGUGGAUAGCCCAUAACAUUGGAAGAUGUUUUAAAGUAAUUAUCUUUGAGGGGGAGGGGGGAGAGUUGCUUUGGUUUAGUUUGGGUUUUUUGGUUUGGUUUGGUUUGUAUUUUUUUCAUAAGGAAAAGGAGAGAGAGAAAUCAUAAUGCUCUAGGAAAAUAAUCCUGGAUUGCGAGGAAACUGCGCCCGUGAGAUAUGUAAGAAACUUCAUGGGAUAAAAAUGGCUCGAGUGUAUAUUUUGUAAAAGAACAAAUAUUUUUUUAUCUCACUGGCUGGUCAAAGUCAGACAGGGAGUUCUCGCUCAUGUGCAUUGAUGAUCUUCAGCCAAGUGUAAGUAUUUCUUGUCCUCGCUGCCGAUGGCAGGCAGACACCUGCAAACCUGCACAUCGAAAGGGAAAAAAAUUUCCCUUUUUCGCUGUCACCAGUGGCAUUUCUAUAGCUGCUAAAGAAAGCAGCAAGACGGGAAUCGCGCCCUUCACGAGCAGCCGGUUUGGCAGCGCAAGUCGGAGGGCGCCAGCCACGCUCAGGAAAAAGGAGGGGAAUCCUCCCCAUGCGGAGGAAAACUCGAGAACCCCCUCGGUAAACAAAACAAAAAAAAACACCCAGACCA